GAUGAACGCUAGCGGCAGGCUUAACACAUGCAAGUCGAGGGGUAGCAGGGAGCUUGCUCCGCUGACGACCGGCGAACGGGUGCGUAACGCGUAUAGAAUCUACCUCUUACUAAGGGAUAGCCCAGAGAAAUUUGGAUUAAUAUCUUAUAGUAUACAGACCUGGCAUCAGGAUUGUAUUAAAGGUUACGGUAAGAGAUGACUAUGCGUCCUAUUAGCUAGAUGGUGUGGUAACGGCACACCAUGGCUACGAUAGGUAGGGGCCCUGAGAGGGGGAUCCCCCACACUGGUACUGAGACACGGACCAGACUCCUACGGGAGGCAGCAGUGAGGAAUAUUGGACAAUGGAGGCAACUCUGAUCCAGCCAUGCCGCGUGCAGGAAGACUGCCCUAUGGGUUGUAAACUGCUUUUAUACAGGAAGAAACACUCUCACGUGUGAGAGCUUGACGGUACUGUAAGAAUAAGGAUCGGCUAACUCCGUGCCAGCAGCCGCGGUAAUACGGAGGAUCCAAGCGUUAUCCGGAAUCAUUGGGUUUAAAGGGUCCGUAGGUGGAUGAUUAAGUCAGAGGUGAAAUCCUGCAGCUCAACUGUAGAAUUGCCUUUGAUACUGGUUGUCUUGAGUUAUUAUGAAGUAGUUAGAAUAUGUAGUGUAGCGGUGAAAUGCAUAGAUAUUACAUAGAAUACCAAUUGCGAAGGCAGAUUACUAAUAAUAUACUGACACUGA
rnacentral:rRNA from 1 species